AGUGAACGCUGGCGGUAGGCCUAACACAUGCAAGUCGAACGGCAGCACAGUAAGAGCUUGCUCUUACGGGUGGCGAGUGGCGGACGGGUGAGGAAUACAUCGGCAUCUACUUUUUCGUGGGGGAUAACGUAGGGAAACUUAUGCUAAUACCGCAUACGACCUACGGGUGAAAGCAGGGGAUCUUCGGACCUUGCGCGAUUGUAUGAGCCGAUGUCGGAUUAGCUAGUUGGCGGGGUAAAGGCUCACCAAGGCGACGAUCCGUAGCUGAUCUGAGAGGAUGAUCAGCCACACUGGAACUGAGACACGGUCCAGACUCCUACGGGAGGCAGCAGUAGGGAAUAUUGGGCAAUGGGCGCAAGCCUGAUCCAGCCAUACCGCGUGAGUGAAGAAGGUCUUCGGGUUGUAAAGCCCUGUUGUUAGGAAAGAAAAACAGCAGGUUAAUACCCCGCUGUUCUGACGGUACCCAAAGAGUAAGCACCGGCUAACUUCGUG
rnacentral:rRNA from 1 species